rnacentral:sRNA from 2 species
GGGUCGAAGACGCCUAAUCUCCGCGUCACGCGCGGGGAGCGGGGGACCCACAGAAGGCGAGACCUUCAGGGGCGCAUUGGCGCGUUGCCGCCAUAGGACACUUCCGAGUCCGAGCCCGUCAGCUAACCCCGUCGGCGUGUGACGGAAGCGCA